UACGGAGGGGGUUAGCGUUGUUCGGAAUUACUGGGCGUAAAGCGCGCGUAGGCGGAUUAGUAAGUUGGGGGUGAAAUCCCAGGGCUCAACCCUGGAACUGCCUCCAAAACUACUAGUCUUGAGUUCGAGAGAGGUGAGUGGAAUUCCGAGUGUAGAGGUGAAAUUCGUAGAUAUUAGGAGGAACACCAGUGGCGAAGGCGGCUCACUGGCUCGAUACUGACGCUGAGGUGCGAAAGCGUGGGGAGCAAACAGG
rnacentral:rRNA from 1 species